rnacentral:lncRNA from 1 species
UUUUCAUCUUAUAAAAAUGUUAGGUGUCUUAAAAAUGAGUGAGUAAAACACUUUUCCAGUUAAGGAAAGAUAUCUAAAUAGUUUAUAUGUAAGUAUAAGGAAGAUCUGAUUAGAGAUUCUUCUUAUGUAAUAUUUUCCUGAAAUAAAGAGUUUUGUUUAUAUAUCUUCUGUCCAAUUCAUAUGUUAGCCACAAGUGAAGGUUGCGAUCUUCUACCUUAUUAGAAGAAAGACAAUAGGAUAGCCUCAGACUGAGUGUCAUCAUAGGCUAAAUAGUCUUUCAUUGUGAAGAAAGAGAAGUACUGUGGUACUGAUACAACUAGCAAAAGAAGAAGUCGAAAGGUAUAAAUAUUAAACUCUGCGCUUCAUGAAAUUAUUAGCAGAAGAAGAAAUCUAGCUUCAUAUCUUUUAAAUACUUAUUCAUACAUACUAUAUGAUACUAAAUACCGAUAGGGAAUAAACACUGUCAUGAAAUUUUUAAUAUUUCAAUGAGUUAUUAAACUAUUUUUCUUGAUGAAAAACAUUAAUCACCAUUUUAAUGGUAAUUUAAUUAAAUAAAUAUUUACAAGAGAAAAUUCUUGAAAAAAAUCAUAGAUAACCUUGUUCAAGAACAAUGAUCUAUAAAUGAUUAUUCAUAUGUAGAUAGUGAUGAUGAAUUAUACUAUUUGUAUGAUGAAAACUAUUCCACUGACUAAGUUAAAUAAAAUUUCGCAUGCCCUAUUUGCGAACAGGGUAUGUCCAAAG